CAAGGGAAAAGUGUGAAAAUUCAAAGAAUCAAGUGACAAAAGGUGGUGAAUCCUCCGAUAAGGGCAAAGAAAUAUUACCCGAGGAUCAAUAGUCGGAGUACUCUAAAAAUUCGACUCCCGAAAUAACUCAGAAUAGGCUGUAGAUAGCUGAUUUCAUCAAGGGCUAUCAUUGGAUUUGCAUCAUCCAAACUGUAAGUUCAUAGUCUUUCUUACUUUUGGUUAUUCGAGGGCUCCCUUGUUAUCGUAAAUUAAAUUAAAU